rnacentral:rRNA from 1 species
GAUGAACGCUGGCGGCGUGCCUAAUACAUGCAAGUCGAGCGAACAGACGAGGAGCUUGCCCCUUCGACGUUAGCGGCGGACGGGUGAGUAACACGUAGGUAACCUACCUAUAAGACUGGGAUAACUUCGGGAAACCGGAGCUAAUACCGGAUAAUAUUUCGAACCGCAUGGUUCGAUAGUGAAAGAUGGCUUUGCUAUCACUUAUAGAUGGACCUGCGCCGUAUUAGCUAGUUGGUAAGGUAACGGCUUACCAAGGCAACGAUACGUAGCCGACCUGAGAGGGUGAUAGGCCACACUGGAACUGAGACACUGUCCAGACGCCUAAGGGAGGCAGCAGUAGGGAAUCGUACGCAAUGGGCGAAAGCCUGACGGAGCAACGCCGCGUGAGUGAUGAAGGUCUUCGGAUCGUAAAACUCUGUUAUUAGGGAAGAACAAACGUGUAAGUAACUGUGCACGUCUUGACGGUACCUAAUCAGAAAGCCACGGCUAACUACGUG